rnacentral:rRNA from 1 species
CAAUAGCGUAUAUUAAAGUUGUUGCAGUUAAAAAGCUCGUAGUUGAAUUUUUGCUUGCCGCCGAUGUCGGAACUUCCGUACGUUCGGCGGCGUGCAUCCUUGGGUGGAACCUGUGUGGCAUUAGGUUGUCGUGCAGGGGAUGCUCAUCGUUUACUGUGAAAAAAUUAGAGUGUUCAAAGCAGGCUUACGCCGUUGAAUAUAUUAGCAUGGAAUAAUAAGAUAGGACCUUGGUACUAUUUUGUUGGUUUGCGCACCGAGGUAAUGAUUAAUAGGGACAGUUGGGGGUAUUCGUAUUCCAUUGUCAGAGGUGAAAUUCUUGGAUUUCUGGAAGACGAACUACUGCGAAAGCAUUUACCAAGGAUGUUUUCAUUAA